ACAGCUAUAUCACAUUGAAACACAGGUUCCCACAUGAUCACUGAAGUUAAGCAACAUUGAGCCUAAUCAGUACCUAGAUGGGUGACCGUUUGGGAAUACCAGGUGCUAUA